CAUUCUCAUGCUGAUAAUAAAAACAUACCCUAGACUGGGUCAUUUAUAAAGGAAAGAAGUUUAAUUGACUCAGUUCCACAGGGCUGGGGAGGCCUCAGGAAACUUACAAUCAUGACAGAGGUGGAAGCAAACAUGCCCUUCUUCACAUGGCGGCAGCAAGGAAAAGUGCAGAGUGAAGUGGGGGAAAGCCCCUUAUAAAACCAUCAGAUCUCAUGAGAACUUACUAUCACAAGAACAGUAUGGAGGUGACAGCCCCCAUGAUUCAAUUACCUCCCAUCGGGACCCUCCUAUGACAAGUAGGAAUUAUGAGAACUACAGUUCAAAAUGAGAUUUGGGUGGGAACACAGCCAAAUCACACCAGUGUAUAAGUAACUAUGAUCCCAAAUUGUUCACGUCAAAAAUAAUGUGAGAAUCUGCCCUUUACUUAGUACUUGAUGAAAAAAAUAGUUCACAAAGAGAGUUUUAAGAAAUCUAACACAUUGUUCGUUACCAUUUUUUUCUGCUUGAAACACUUUUUAUUUUGUCUUUAUUUCUUACAGCCCAUCAUUUCUUCAAGGUCCAAUUAAAUUUUUGGGUGUUCCAUAACACCUUACCUUAGUCCCAAACGAUGAUGGUUGUGUGACCAUCUGUGAUAUAACACAUGAACUCUUUACAACAGAGUGAUAACUCCUUACUCAAUGUAUAAAGUGCAGAUUUUGAUCAACAUUUCCAAGACGGCAAUGUAAAGAAAAAUAGAUUCUGCUAGUUAAAAUGAGGAAAGUGCAGCUGGUCAUAGUCAUUCUCUUAUUAGGUUUUUGCUGUCCCCCAUUACUGGGGAAAAGAGAAUUGGCUUCAAGUAUCCCUGGGCAUCAGUGUGUGUCAGAAAGCUUUCUUCCUACUGGAGACUCGGGAAUCCAGUAUGCUUCCAUCUGAUACAUCUGGCAUCUUCAUCUGUGCUUUUCCUUUCUUAGAGAAAACAUCCAGCCUAAGAAAGCAUGUGGUGAGCAUUUUAAGAUGACAAAUGGGAGGCCAACGAGUGAAAAGAACAAAGGGUGAUUUAUGGUUCUUUAGUAAAUAACAAUAAUAAAUAGCAAAAAUCUUACUCAUAACAUCCUUUAUAAUUGUGAAAUUCUUAUAGUGUGGUAUCCGUAAUAUUUUAUCAUCACAUAUUUGCUUUCAUAAAGUAUUAUUUAUUCAACUUUUUUUUCUGAUACUCUAUGAUAAUGAUGGACUGAGGAGACUGCUUUUCUGAAUCAUAUGCUA
rnacentral:lncRNA from 1 species